rnacentral:misc_RNA from 1 species
CUUCCUAUCUCUCUCUCCUAUUAACGAUCCACGCGUCCGCGUGUUUGAACUAUCUCCAGAUAUAUCAACUGACCAGACAACCGUUCUAUAGAUCGGCACGAUCGUGGAUUUCCUUCUGAUAUCACAAGGAGAAGGCCUUAUAAGCGAUCGUGUUUCAACGUGCAGUUGGUAGUGAACGGAUCGUUUGAAAUCGAACGUGGAAACAGUAAUGGUCGGCGAAGUUACCUUCUGUCUAUUCAUGGGGUUGUGGAAGCGAAGAAGAACGAAGGAGAAAGGUGGCGGAUCGAGAGUCACAGUGGUGUCGCUGGUGCCCUACGAUGAAUCUUUCUGGACGGUUGAGAAUCGGAUCAAGAGACCGAAGGACAGAGAAAUUAAAAUAUUAAAACAUCGAAAUAUCGUAACGUCGAAAAAUUGAAAAAUUGAAAUACUUGGAAAACUAUAAGAUCGGAAAAUCAGAAGAAUCGAAGAUCAGGAAAGUGG